rnacentral:rRNA from 1 species
UACGAAGGGUGCAAGCGUUACUCGGAAUUACUGGGCGUAAAGCGUGCGUAGGUGGUUUCUUAAGUCUGCUGUGAAAGCCCAGGGCUUAACCCUGGAAUUGCCUUUAAGACUGCAUCGCUAGAAUCGUGGAGAGGUGAGUGGAAUUCCGGAGUGUAGAGGUGAAAUUCGUAGAUAUUCGGAAGAACACCAGUGGCGAAGGCGACUUACUGGACACAUAUUGACGCUGAGGUGCGAAAGCGUGGGGAGCAAACAGG